rnacentral:lncRNA from 1 species
UGGGUUUGGUUGGAGCAGUUAGGGCCCAUUGGGUUCUGCCAACUGCUCCCACCUCAUCUCACCCUCUACUGUGAUUACCAACAACACUCUUCACUGGCCACCACGUAUUCGGUUGGUCCACCAUCACCUUGUUCACCCAAGACGCAGGUGAGACGACUCCCUUGAGUUAUAUUACCUUCUAGAAACCAUUUGAAAUCAAACAAGUGACUUCCCGAUGUGUACAUUCUCUUAUUUCUUAAUGUUUCAGCUGCCCAGCAAAUUUUUUGACGAGGACAGGGGAUAUUGAGGAGUGAAGCAGCUGUCCUUGAUGUGGCGAAACGCGGAUGGUUUGAAGAUAUGAUAUGCAAACAGACAAGGAUAUCAGCAAG